rnacentral:rRNA from 1 species
AUUGAACGCUGGCGGCAGGCCUAACACAUGCACGUCGAGCGGGGCGGCGGACGGGUGAGUAAUACCUGGGAAUCAGCCUGGUAGUGGGGGAUAACGUCCGGAAACGGGAGCUACUACCGCAUACUAUCAGAUGAGCCUAGGUCGGAUUAGCUCGUUGGUGGGGUAAAGGCCUACGAAGGACAAGAUCCGUAACUGGUCUGAGAGGAUGAUCAGUCACACUGGAACGGAGACACGGUCCAGACUCCUACGGGAGGCAGCAGUGGGGAAGAUUGGACAAUGGGGGAAAGCCUGAUCCAGCCAUGCCGCGUGUGUGAAGAAGGUCUUCGGAUUGUAAAGCACUUUAAGUUGGGAGGCGUUACCAACAGAAUAAGCACCGGCUAACUUCGUGCCAGCAGCCGCGGUAAUUC